rnacentral:lncRNA from 1 species
UUUUUUUUUUUUUUUUUUUUUUUUUGGCAGCGCCUGCAGCAUACAGAGGUUCCCAGGCUGGGGACUGAACCAGAGCCACAGAAGUGACCUGAGCUGCAGCAGUGACAACACUGGAUCCUUAGCCUGCUGAGCCACCAGAGAACUCUCUCACCCCUCAUUCUUAGAACCCCAACUCUGGUGUUUCUACUUUUACUGAGUAGCAUCUCUAGCUACAACUUGGCCACACACUGUGCCCUUUUCCUACCUUAUCUCUAUUCCAAACAGUGAGCCAAACACCAUGAAAUGCUUUUCAUACGGAUAUCAUUUAAACCUCACAACAAUCUCAUAGGUAGAUAGCAUCGGUCUUGUCUGAGAGAUGAGGAAGUGGAGACCUGGAGAAGUUAGGUAACCUGCCGAAGGUCAUAGGGAUGAUCACGGGUGAUUUCAAUGCAGGUUUAUUUGGCCGCUGACCCCAUACUUAUUUCCAAAAUACUGUGCCUUCACUAGGAAUAUUAUCUUUCCAUGCACUGCGGCUCAGAGUCCAUCCCUGGUCCGGUAACUUCCAUAUGCCGCAGAAGCAGCCAUAACACACAAAAAAUUUUUUUUAGACCACUGCUAUCAGCAUUGAAUCCAUCUCUUUUCUAAGCCAACCAUGGAAUUUCUGCUCUUUUUUCAUAAAUGAACAUCUGAUUCAAAAGCAAACGUUUCCUGGCUGUAACAUAGUCUGAUAAGCUUGGACAUCACGGCCUAGAAAACAUAUCAUAAAAGUCUAGUUUUAGUGUAACUUUAAUUAGAGCACUGGCUAAAUGAUGACUCUGAGGUCUACUGUGUGUUAUCUUCACAACCAAACAAUAAGACAGGGGCAGAGAGGUAUUUCCAUUUGACAAAGUGGAAAAUGGAAAGAAAGGUCUUCUCACCCUUGCUUAGUUACUAAGGGGAGAUGUUGGUAUUGAAAUUUCAGCUCUUGAAUUGCUCUUCUAGAGCUGGCUUGUCUCACUUCCCCACACUGCUUUUCUAAGUAGAGAAUUAUUUUAAUGUUUUGAAAGUUCUGGGCAACUAAGUAUGUGUGUCAACACAAAUUCGAUGGUCACUGUGAUGAUUUAUCUGUUUUUCCAAAGAUGUGCUUAAUUUAAUGCUACUUCAUACAUUUAUUUUGAUCAAUAUGUUUGUUUCCCUCUAUCUCUAGAGCAAAAAAAGAUCUUCAACAUUUUAUGCUUUUUAUGAAUAUCAUUUAUGCUUUGCAUGAAUAUUACAUAGCCACUCAUUUUAUGUAUUCUUUCAUUUAAUCACCCACAGUGCGAGAUCCAUUUCCCCUUAAUUUAAUGUGUUAAAAUGAUUAUUUCAUUGUAAUUCACACUGAUGGACUUGAUUUGAAAAGUUGAGUGCUUGUUUGAGUGGAAUGGUUUUGACAUUUAACAGCUAUAGUACACUUUUAAAAUUCUAGAAUAACAUAUCAGAGAUUAAUUUUAUAACCAAUUUCCCUAAUAAAAGGAGUAAUGAAUGAGUGAUUGAGUCAUCUGCAUUUCCUUUGCUUUUUCACCUUUAAGAACAACGAAUGCAAAAUCUAGACCCUGCCACAAUUGAUGUCAUUUUCAAAAGGUUUAUUCUUUGCUAAUGAGAGACUCUAGUUCUAUACUUAUACUUGAAAGUAUUAUGAAGAAUAGUUAAAGGUAAAAAGUUCAAAGUAUUAAUACAUGUUACGACAUGGGUGCACCUCAAAAACAUUAUGUUAAGUAAAAGAUGUCAGUCUUGCUAUAUGAUUCCACUUUUGUGAGAUGUAAAGAAAAAUCUGAACAGAGAGUAGGUGAGUAGUUGCCCGGGGCUUGGGAACAGGACAGAAGAGUAACUGUGAAUCAGCUCAGAGCUUCUCUGGGGCUGAUGGGAAUGUUCUAAAAUAAGAUUGUGGUCAUGGUCACACAGCUCCGUAAAUCUACCAGCAAUUAUGGAAUGGUACACUUAACACUGAAGAAUUUUAUGAUAUGUAAAAUCUAUUUCAACAAAGCUUUACCCAAUAGAUGUGAGAGUCAAAUAGCUUGUGGUAAUUAAAUCUGAUUGUAAACAUAAAGAAAAAUGAAUUAAGUUCACAUCAUUUAAAUACCAAUACUCUUUAUGUUCUUUUCCUGUAUCUAAUGGAGGAUACACUGUAGAAGGAAGACAUGAUUUUUCCUCUGAAAUUGGCAACCCAGCCAAAAAAAAAAAAAAAAAAAAAUCUAUCAACAAGCAGAAAGCAGUGCCUGAUAUACUAUUGCCUCUAGGGGUAGGUGAACAUGGAGAAAAAUGGAAUUAUUAUUUCUGGAACAACAUAGGUUCUUUAUUCUUCUUUAAAAGAAAUACCAGCCCAUAGAAUUUUCACCAUUGCUUGGUCACCAACAAGGUAGUUGCUCUUUUCAAGUCUAAACUCAAAGCUCUUCCAACAUUUCUAUCUGGAAAAUCCCAUGCAGGAAGCAGGGUGUCUCAUCAAACUUCUUAUUCUCAAUACAUAGAACAGUACUGGCCAUAGAAAACACCCUAGAAACAUUUCUGAUGUAAAUCAAGAUAAACUCAGAGUUCUCUGCUGUGGCUCAGGUUUCGGUCCACGGUCCAGAAACUUCCAUAUACAGGUGUG